rnacentral:rRNA from 1 species
UAUGGUGUGUGCCAGCCGCCGCGGUAAUACGGAGGAUGCGAGCGUUAUCCGGAUUUAUUGGGUUUAAAGGGAGCGCAGACGGGUCGUUAAGUCAGCUGUGAAAGUUUGGGGCUCAACCUUAAAAUUGCAGUUGAUACUGGCGUCCUUGAGUGCGGUUGAGGUGUGCGGAAUUCGUGGUGUAGCGGUGAAAUGCGUAGAGAUCUGGAGGAAUACCGGUGGCGAAGGCGGCCCCCUGGACGAAGACUGACGCUCAGGUGCGAAAGCGUGGGGAGCAAACAGG